rnacentral:rRNA from 1 species
UACGAAGGGGACUAGCGUUGUUCGGAAUCACUGGGCGUAAAGCGCACGUAGGCGGAUUCGUAAGUCAGGGGGUGAAAUCCCGGGGCUCAACCUCGGAACUGCCUUUGAUACUGCGGGUCUUGAGUCCGAUAGAGGUGGGUGGAAUUCCUAGUGUAGAGGUGAAAUUCGUAGAUAUUAGGAAGAACACCGGUGGCGAAGGCGGCCCACUGGAUCGGUACUGACGCUGAGGUGCGAAAGCGUGGGGAGCAAACAGG